rnacentral:tRNA from 1 species
AAUGAAGUGCCUGAUAAAAGGAUUAUCGUGAUAGGAUAAAUCAUGUGAUUAAAUCACCUUCAUUA